GACGAACGCUGGCGGCGUGCUUAACACAUGCAAGUCGAACGGAAAGGCCCUGCUUUUGUGGGGUGCUCGAGUGGCGAACGGGUGAGUAACACGUGAGUAACCUGCCCUUGACUUUGGGAUAACUUCAGGAAACUGGGGCUAAUACCGGAUAGGAGCUCCUGCUGCAUGGUGGGGGUUGGAAAGUUUCGGCGGUUGGGGAUGGACUCGCGGCUUAUCAGCUUGUUGGGGGGGUAGUGGCUUACCAAGGCUUUGACGGGUAGCCGGCCUGAGAGGGUGACCGGCCACAUUGGGACUGAGAUACGGCCCAGACUCCUACGGGAGGCAGCAGUGGGGAAUAUUGCACAAUGGGCGGAAGCCUGAUGCAGCAACGCCGCGUGCGGGAUGACGGCCUUCGGGUUGUAAACCGCUUUCGCCUGUGACGAAGCGUGAGUGACGGUAAUGGGUAAAGAAGCACCGGCUAACUACGUG
rnacentral:rRNA from 1 species